rnacentral:rRNA from 1 species
UACGUAUGGAGCAAGCGUUAUCCGGAUUUACUGGGUGUAAAGGGAGCGCAGGCGGCUUUGCAAGUCUGAUGUGAAAGGCCGGGGCUCAACCCCGGGACUGCAUUGGAAACUGUAAAGCUAGAGUGCCGGAGGGGUAAGCGGAAUUCCUAGUGUAGCGGUGAAAUGCGUAGAUAUAUGGAAGAACACCAGUGGCGAAAGCGGCUCUCUGGUCUGUAACUGACGCUGAGGUUCGAAAGCGUGGGUAGCAAACAGG